CCCCACAGUGCCUACAACUACCCAGGAACAUCCCAAACGUAGGCGUGGGCCUGCUAAGUGCACUGAGUUUGAGAAGAUGAGAAAGUACAAAAAACUGCCGUUGAAGAUCAAUGACGGCGAGUCGACACCGUGUUGUCAGAACGCAUCCAUGUUCACGACACGGGUAACGCAAAUAGUUAAAUAGCACUGUGACAUGAGUUAUGCUAGAUGGACCGAUGUGCCACAGGCUCAAAAGAACGAGUUGAUUGAACGUGUUCGGGGUGACUUCGUGUUGGAUUGGGAUCUGGCGAAUCAUAGAUUGAUAGUCUUAAAGCAACUACGUAAGCGGUUCAAUGCAUUCCAUCACGAAUUACACAAAAAAUAUUUAUCAUACAAAACUCACGAAGAAGCAUUGUCUUCUGGGAGUAGCAUGGUCGACCCCAUCGUCUGGGAUAAGUUGUGUGCGAGGUGGGGAAGUGAAGACUUCACGUUGGUGUUGACUAACAUUGUGUUUUAAUUGCAGAAAAUGUCAAGACAAAAUCAGGAGAAUAGAAAGAAGCUAACCAAUAACCACAUCGCAGACCGCAAAUCCUUUGUUAGGAUACUGGAGAAGGAGGUAUAAUCUUUUAACUGAUUUAUGCGGUCACUUGUAUGGUCACAACCCUAUUUCCGUAGAAUCAUGUUUCUGAUUGAUCAUAGCUAACUAUACAAAUUCCACACUCUUGUAGUGGGCGACGAAUGCGACUUUGGUGGAGUUUUGUAGGAGACUCACUGGUCAAAGAAGAACGGUAAAUUUGUCACCUCAGCCACUGAAGACACCUAUAAAAAGAUGGUUGACAAACUGGAUGAUCUAGAGCCUGAACAACGCACCGGUUAGGCAGCAGCGAGUGUAUUUAGGGAGGUACUUGGGCAUAGACCAGGAUAUGCCCAGGGGCUAGGGGAGAUGGUCAUCCCAGAGUCGACCAGACAACGGGACCGUGAACUAGAAAAAGAGUACUUUGCCUUGGUUGAACAAUACAAGAAAGAUGCCAACAACUACAAGAAAGAUGAUUUGAACUACAAGACGCAGCUUGAUGAAAUGAGGGAUGAAAUGUGCGCACUUCGUGAGAGGCAAAAUGAAACUGAUAACAUGUUGAGGGAAUUCUUUCAAAAUUUCCCAUCUUUCACUGAGUCUCUCCAGUCUCGUAGAGAGACUCAGUGAGCUACCAUUAAGACGCAUGGGAAGAGGUUUUUUGUGUAUUUUGGGCACUUUUUGAUGGUGGGAGAUGGUGGGUGGCCAUAUAUAUAUAUAUAUAGUGAAGAUGAAGGUUGUCUACUUUUGCAUCGUUGGAGUCAUUGGGCAGUUGAGGGAAUUUUUGUCAGUGA